rnacentral:rRNA from 1 species
AGCGAACGCUGGCGGCAGGCCUAACACAUGCAAGUCGAACGGAUCCUUCGGGAUUAGUGGCGGACGGGUGAGUAACACGUGGGAACGUGCCCUUUGGUUCGGAACAACUCAGGGAAACUUGAGCUAAUACCGGAUGUGCCCUUCGGGGGAAAGAUUUAUCGCCAUUGGAGCGGCCCGCGUCUGAUUAGCUAGUUGGUGAGGUAAAGGCACACCAAGGCGACGAUCAGUAGCUGGUCUGAGAGGAUGAUCAGCCACAUUGGGAAUGAGACACGGCCCAAACUCCUACGGGAGGCAGCAGUGGGGAAUCUUGCGCAAUGGGCGAAAGCCUGACGCAGCCAUGCCGCGUGAAUGAUGAAGGUCUUAGGAUUGUAAAAUUCUUUCACCGGGGACGAUAAUGACGGUACCCGGAGAAGAAGCCCCGGCUAACUUCGUGCCAGCCGCCGCGGUAAAAC